GAACUUAAGCAUAUCAGUAAGCGGAGGAAAAGAAACUAACAAGGAUUCCCCUAGUAACGGCGAGUGAAGCGGGAAAAGCUCAAAUUUGAAAACCACCUAAAGUGGUGUUGUAUUUGAGAGGAAGUGAAGACGGGAGAGGAAUGGCCGCCAGGUCCUUUGGAAAGAGGCACCACAGAGGGUGAGAGUCCCGUGGGCGGCAGCGAAUCAACCACUACUACACGUCCUACGAGUCGGAUUGUUUGGGAAUGCAGUCCUAAAUGGGUGAUACAUGUCAUCUAAAGCUAAAUAACGGCAAGAGACCGAUAGCAAACAAGUACCGUGAGGGAAAGAUGAAAAGAACUUGCAACCAAGUGUGAAAAGUGCGUGAAAUUGUGGAGAGGGAAACGCACGUCAUUUUGAGAUGCAGGAGACUGAUUGCACUGUGAAAGAGGCGCUUGUGGAAGGUGGCUUUGGUCCACGUGAUCAACGGCUUUAUAGACACGAGACGUGAACGCAGGGUAGUCGGUUGCCUAUGAAAGAAUGAUGUGCGACCCGUCUUGAAACACGGACCAAGGAGUGUAACUGCGCUGCGAGUCAAUUGGUGGCAAACCGAUAGGCGCAACGAAAGUGAGCGUGUGUGAGGCACAAUAUAAAGAUGCUGCAACACGGGCGAACGAGAUUCCUCGCGGAUCUUGUCCAGCUGCAGCAGCGCAGCUACGACCCGAAA
rnacentral:rRNA from 1 species